ensembl:snRNA U6 U6 spliceosomal RNA
UUGCUCACUUCAACAGCACGUAUACUAAAAUUGGACCAAUAUAGAGAAGAUCGGCAUGAUCACUGCACAAGGAUGGCUUGCGAAUUUGUGAAUAUUCACAGACCAGU